GACGAAUGCUGGCUGCGUGCUUAACACAUGCAAGUCGAACGGUGAAGGAGGGCUUGCCCUCCGGAUCAGUGGCGAACGGGUGAGUAACACGUGGGCAACCUGCCCCUCACUCUGGGAUAACGCCGGGAAACCGGCGCUAAUACCGGAUACGACCAGGCGCGACAUCUCGCCUGGUGGAAAGAAUUUCGGUGAGGGAUGGGCCCGCGGCCUAUCAGCUUGUUGGUGGGGUAACGGCCCACCAAGGCGACGACGGGUAGCCGGCCUGAGAGGGUGACCGGCCACACUGGGACUGAGACACGGCCCAGACUCCUACGGGAGGCAGCAGUGGGGAAUAUUGCGCAAUGGGCGAAAGCCUGACGCAGCGACGCAGCGUGAGGGACGAAGGCCUUCGGGUUGUAAACCUCUUUCAGCGGGGACGAAGCGAAAGUGACGGUACCCGCAGAAGAAGCACCGGCUAACUACGUGCCAGCAGCCGCGGUAACAC
rnacentral:rRNA from 1 species